rnacentral:rRNA from 1 species
UACGGAUGGGGCUAGCGUUGUUCGGAAUUACUGGGCGUAAAGCGCACGUAGGCGGCUUUGUAAGUUAGAGGUGAAAGCCCGGAGCUCAACUCCGGAACUGCCUUUAAGACUGCAUCGCUUGAACGUCGGAGAGGUAAGUGGAAUUCCGAGUGUAGAGGUGAAAUUCGUAGAUAUUCGGAAGAACACCAGUGGCGAAGGCGACUUACUGGACGACUGUUGACGCUGAGGUGCGAAAGCGUGGGGAGCAAACAGG